rnacentral:lncRNA from 1 species
UAAGCAAAAGACAAUUUUUUUAAUCCUAAAGUUACAAAAUUACCCUUAGUCAUAAUUCACUAUUGUUUAGUUUCCCAACAAACUUUUGGGUAGUUAGCUUAUUUCAAUAUGACUUUUUAACUUUCAUCAUUCAAAAAUUCAAAAAGCUAAUUUUUUUCCAUUAACAAGAAGUAAUUAUAACAAGGGUAAUAUAGGAAACUCAAUUGUUUGUUUUGGUAAAAUUUAGAGUUUCUUAAUAAGUGUGAAAACUUUUUUUUUUGCUUAUAUUUCGGGACGGAUGG